ACGCUGAAAUUAUUCAUUAUUCUAAAAUCCACCGAGGGACAUCAUCCGAUUUACGAAGAAAAUCGGAAGGACUUGUCGCAGCCAAAGGUUCAUCAGCUGCUCGUAUAGAUGCUUCUCACAAAAGUUCAAAUGAUCAUAUUGGAUAAUCAAGAACCAAACGACCAGAAUUUCUUUCCCUAUACGCUUCCGAAUCUGAUUAACAAGUGUUAUCAAGCGAAGAAGUAAGAGAAGCUAUAUGCGAAAGCAGUGACGUAUCGAAAGAAUACAAAAAUUGUGCAUUUAAGAUAGUCGAUUGUCUAGAAAGUAGCACAAAAUCUUUCGGUAGUAGUUGGAAUAUCU